rnacentral:lncRNA from 1 species
CGCCAGAAAGCUCACCCACGCCUUCGUGCAUAACGUUCGCCACUAGCGUUUACCGGUAAACAUUACGUUUACAUAAGCUGCAGUUGCCGGAAAGCGUGAGAAGUAGUCAGGGAUCUUUGAAUGCUGUCGCGUUCAACUAUUAAAGGCGAAGCUUAA